GGAGAGGUCGCAUAGCCCGGUCUAGUGCGCGCGCCUGGAGAGCGCGUUUACCGAAAGGUAACGAGGGUUCGAAUCCCUCCCUCUCCGCCA
rnacentral:tRNA from 1 species